UCAGGGAAUUUGGAUUUAGCAGUUGAAGUUCCUGUAGGAGAAGAUUUAAACGAAUGGUUUGCUGUCAAUACUAUAGAAUUCUAUAAUGAAAUUAACCUGAUCUAUGGAGCCUUGACUGAGUUCUGCACUCCUGAAUCGUGUCCUGUUAUGUCAGCUGGGCCUAAGUACGAGUACUUGUGGGCAGAU
rnacentral:rRNA from 1 species